rnacentral:rRNA from 1 species
GAUGAACGCUGGCGGCGUGCCUAAUACAUGCAAGUCGAGCGAACAGACGAGGAGCUUGCUCCUCUGACGUUAGCGGCGGACGGGUGAGUAACACGUGGAUAACCUACCUAUAAGACUGGGAUAACUUCGGGGAACCGGAGCUAAUACCGGAUAAUAUAUUGAACCGCAUGGUUCAAUAGUGAAAGACGGUUUUGCUGUCACUUGUAGAUGGAUCCGCGCCGCAUUAGCUAGUUGGUAAGGUAACGGCUUACCAAGGCGACGAUGCGUAGCCGACCUGAGAGGGUGAUCGGCCACACUGGAACUGAGACACGGUCCAGACUCCUACGGGAGGCAGCAGUAGGGAAUCUUCCGCAAUGGGCGAAAGCCUGACGGAGCAACGCCGCGUGAGUGAUGAAGGUCUUCGGAUCGUAAAACUCUGUUAUUAGGGAAGAACAAAUGUGUAAGUAACUAUGCACGUCUUGACGGUACCUAAUCAGAAAGCCACGGCUAACUACGUG